rnacentral:rRNA from 1 species
AACGAACGCUAGCGGCAGGCCUAACACAUGCAAGUCGAACGCUCCAGCAAUGGAGAGUGGCAGACGGGUGAGUAACGCGUGGGAACCUUCCCUAUGGUUCGGAAUAGCUCAGGGAAACUUGAGGUAAUACCGGAUAAGCCCUUCGGGGAAAGGAUUAUCGCCAUUGGAUGGGCCCGCGUAGGAUUAGCUAGUUGGUGAGGUAACGGCUCACCAAGGCGACGAUCCUUAGCUGGCUGAGAGGAUGAUCAGCCAC